rnacentral:misc_RNA from 1 species
UAUCCAGACACCCUCAAAUACUAUACUUUCAGAAUCAAUCGCUAUAUAUGCAAUCACACCAUAUGCUUUGCACAAAGAAACAUGUUUACAUAUGCUCUUCUACUUCUAGUAGACCUAUCUCUUUGACCUUUCACAUCUAAUGAUCAAAAUGAAAACAAAAUUAAAAAAGAAACCAGGCAAAUUCAAAAAAUUGCAAAAGGCAUUGUACAAAUUGCAACAAAUGAGGUAGACCUGGAAGGAUAAGUUUCACAGUCUACCGGAUAUUUGGAUAGGGACGAAUAAACGCAGUAUUCAUUUGCCAUAUCUGGAGCGAAGCAGUAACAUUGGCUUCAAUGGCAUUGUUGAACAAAAAGAGCCUGGCACUUCCAUAGAUUGCCCUUGUUGGAUAAACCC